rnacentral:rRNA from 1 species
AAGACAGGUGGUGCAUGGUUGUCGUCAGCUCGUGUCGUGAGAUGUUGGGUUAAGUCCCGCAACGAGCGCAACCCUUAUAUUUAGUUGCCAGCACUUCGGGUGGGCACUCUAGAUAGACUGCCGGUGACAAACCGGAGGAAGGUGGGGAUGACGUCAAAUCAUCAUGCCCCUUAUGACCUGGGCUACACACGUACUACAAUGGCCGGUACAACGGGCUGCGAAAUCGCGAGAUGGAGCCAAUCCCAACAAAGCCGGUCUCAGUUCGGAUUGCAGGCUGCAACUCGCCUGCAUGAAGUCGGAAUUGCUAGUAAUCGCGGAUCAGCAUGCCGCGGUGAAUACGUUCCCGGGUCUUGUACACACCGCCCGUCAC